rnacentral:rRNA from 1 species
GACGAACGCUGGCGGCGUGCUUAACACAUGCAAGUCGAACGGAAAGGCCCUGCUUUUGUGGGGUGCUCGAGUGGCGAACGGGUGAGUAACACGUGAGUAACCUGCCCUUGACUUUGGGAUAACUUCAGGAAACUGGGGCUAAUACCGGAUAGGAGCUCCUGCUGCAUGGUGGGGGUUGGAAAGUUUCGGCGGUUGGGGAUGGACUCGCGGCUUAUCAGCUUGUUGGUGGGGUAGUGGCUUACCAAGGCUUUGACGGGUAGCCGGCCUGAGAGGGUGACCGGCCACAUUGGGACUAAGAUACGGCCCAGACUCCUACGGGAGGCAGCAGUGGGGAAUAUUGCACAGUGAGCGGGAGCCUGAUACAGCAACGCCGCGUGCGGGAUGACGGCCUUCGAGUUGUAAACCGCUUUCGCCUGUGACGAAGCGUGAGUGACGGUAAUGGGUAAAGAAGCACCGGCUAACUACGUG